GCGGGUGUAGCCAAGUGGUAAGGCAGUAGCUUCCCAAGCUACCACUCACGAGUUCGAAUCUCGUCACCCGCU
rnacentral:tRNA from 1 species